rnacentral:lncRNA from 1 species
GGGGGAGGGGGACACACUAUUAUUCACCUGUCACACUGGAUGGGUUUUUGUCUCCAAGGAGCUGCAUGUGCCAGGAUGACAGGAGUGACUUUUCAUGAUCUGGGACAAUGACUCUCCUGCCAAGCCAUGUUUUUAUGCAAGUUGGUUGGUCUGGAUCUCCCCCAGGGCUGGGGGCUGCCUAUAGCCCCUGCAUUUCCCACGGUCCAGCAGCCAUCACGGUUGUGAUGGAAUCCUACAGUCCUACAGUGGAAACGUGGCUGCUGAGAAGUAUCUACUACCCUGAGUGGGA